rnacentral:rRNA from 1 species
AGAGUUUGAUCCUGGCUCAGGACGAACGCUGGCGGCGCGCCUAACACAUGCAAGUCGAACGGAGCUUAGAGAGCUUGCUUUUUAAGCUUAGUGGCGAACGGGUGAGUAACGCGUGAGUAACCUGCCCUAGAGUGGGGGACAACAGUUGGAAACGACUGCUAAUACCGCAUAAGCCCACGGUGCCGCAUGACACUGAGGGAAAAGGAUUUAUUCGCUUUAGGAUGGACUCGCGUCCAAUUAGCUAGUUGGUGAGGUAACGGCCCACCAAGGCGACGAUUGGUAGCCGGACUGAGAGGUUGAACGGCCACAUUGGGACUGAGACACGGCCCAGACUCCUACGGGAGGCAGCAGUGGGGGAUAUUGCACAAUGGGGGAAACCCUGAUGCAGCGACGCCGCGUGGAGGAAGAAGGUUUUCGGAUUGUAAACUCCUGUUGUUGAGGAAGAUAAUGACGGUACUCAACAAGGAAGUGACGGCUAACUACGUGCCAGCAGCCGCGGUAAAACGUAGGUCACAAGCGUUGUCCGGAAUUACUGGGUGUAAAGGGAGCGCAGGCGGGAGAACAAGUUGGAAGUGAAAUCCAUGGGCUCAACCCAUGAACUGCUUUCAAAACUGUUUUUCUUGAGUAGUGCAGAGGUAGGCGGAAUUCCCGGUGUAGCGGUGGAAUGCGUAGAUAUCGGGAGGAACACCAGUGGCGAAGGCGGCCUACUGGGCACCAACUGACGCUGAGGCUCGAAAGUGUGGGUAGCAAACAGGAUUAGAUACCCUGGUAGUCCACACCGUAAACGAUGAUUACUAGGUGUUGGAGGAUUGACCCCUUCAGUGCCGCAGUUAACACAAUAAGUAAUCCACCUGGGGAGUACGACCGCAAGGUUGAAACUCAAAGGAAUUGACGGGGGCCCGCACAAGCAGUGGAGUAUGUGGUUUAAUUCGACGCAACGCGAAGAACCUUACCAAGUCUUGACAUCCCUUGACGAUGCUGGAAACAGUAUUUCUCUUCGGAGCAAGGAGACAGGUGGUGCAUGGUUGUCGUCAGCUCGUGUCGUGAGAUGUUGGGUUAAGUCCCGCAACGAGCGUAACCCUUAUGGUCAGUUACUACGCAAGAGGACUCUGGCCAGACUGCCGUUGACAAAACGGAGGAAGGUGGGGAUGACGUCAAAUCAUCAUGCCCUUUAUGACUUGGGCUACACACGUACUACAAUGGCGUUAAACAAAGAGAAGCAAGACCGCGAGGUGGAGCAAAACUCAGAAACAACGUCCCAGUUCGGACUGCAGGCUGCAACUCGCCUGCACGAAGUCGGAAUUGCUAGUAAUCGUGGAUCAGCGUGCCACGGUGAAUACGUUCCCGGGCCUUGCACACACCGCCCGUCA